CGACACUAUAAUAUGAAAAAGUAUUCACCAUACAAAGGUUAGGCUAUCUUUCAAGUGUCAAUAUGAUAUACUCCAUUCGUCCCAAUUACAUAGGUUUAGUUUCAUUUUUCUCUUGUCCCAAAUAUAUAGGCCAGUUUCCUAAUUUAAAAUUUUUUAUUUUGUUUCUUUACCAAUAUAUCCUUAUUCAAUUUUUUUGAAAUAAUUCAAAUACACACAUUUUCCACUUCUUGGAAACAUGAAACAACUCUCAUUUCUUCUUAUUUAAAUUAAAUUAUUCAAAUUAUUUACUAAUUCCAACAAUAAUUUACUACUACAUAAUAAUAAAUAUGGGUAAAUUAGGAAAGAUCUUGACAAAAGUUAAUUUUCAAUGACAUUAAAGAAGAUUUCUUAAUCCAUGUAAAAAACAAAACAAGCCUAUAAAAUUGGGACGGAGCGAGUAGCCAAUAACCACUUACAAGACUUCCAAAUAAAACAAAUACCAUAUGCAAAGAUACCUAUACAAUUUUUUAUAGAUUGCUCCAGGUAGGAGAAACAUGAAAACUAAAAUUGUAGAAAAGCGUCACAUUUACUAGCUUAUAUGUUGAUUUCUUUGUUUAUUUUACUGUAGACUGAGGCUCAGGACGUUGAAUCCUUGUUGCUGGUUUCAUUAUUUUCCAUGGAAGCUGAGAGAAUAUCUAUCAGUAGGAGCACCCGCCGGUGAAAGAAGGCGGCGCCACCACCGGCAAAGUUUUUUUCUUUCAAUGAGCACGGACCAUUGCCGCUGCGGCCCGGAAUAAAAGUGCAGUGAGAACCACCCGACGACGGCACGUUACCCCUUGGAAGAGAAGCCAGCAAUGGAACUUGUCUUUUCAGCCGUGGCUCCAUACCCGAAGAUCUCAUAGAAUUUCCUUCUUGAAUAAACAUUGAAACAAACAAAAACGAAACUAUUAUAAGAAGUGCAGUCCUUAAGAAAGCCAUCGAUCGAUCUUACUUGGGUUUGCUAACAAGUUACAUGAAAAACUU
rnacentral:lncRNA from 1 species